ACACAUGAAUGUUCAUAGCAGCUUUAUUUGUAAUAGCUAAAAACUAGUAUCAACCCAGGUGUCCUUCAACAGAUGAAUUAUUAAAC